GGAUAUCCAGGACAAAGCAAUUGGCUACCUACGGACAGGAUACCAGAACCAGCUGACAUACAAACAUCGUGAUGGUUCCUUCAGUGCGUUUGGAGGCACAGAUCAUGAGGGAAUUACCUGGUUGACAGCCUUUGUGAUGAAAUCAUUUGCAAGUGCUCGUCAAUACAUCUUCAUUGAUAAUGACACCCUUGGAGACGCUGUCAAAUUCUUCCAGAGACAUCAACUGGAGUCGGGUUGUUUCCGUAACCUUGGAUAUUUGUUCAACAAUGCCCUCAAGGUACCAAGGGGAAAAGACAGUACCGAGGGUCAGGGAUCAAAAGAAUUGGUAUUUAAGGUCAAUAAGGCGCCAGGACUGGCUGAGAUGCAUUGAAAGAUUUUGA